AUUGAACGCUGGCGGCAUGCCUUACACAUGCAAGUCGAACGGUAACAGGUCUUCGGAUGCUGACGAGUGGCGAACGGGUGAGUAAUACAUCGGAACGUGCCUAGUAGUGGGGGAUAACUACUCGAAAGAGUGGCUAAUACCGCAUGAGAUCUACGGAUGAAAGCAGGGGAUCGCAAGACCUUGUGCUACUAGAGCGGCCGAUGGCAGAUUAGGUAGUUGGUGGGAUAAAAGCUUACCAAGCCGACGAUCUGUAGCUGGUCUGAGAGGACGAUCAGCCACACUGGGACUGAGACACGGCCCAGACUCCUACGGGAGGCAGCAGUGGGGAAUUUUGGACAAUGGGCGAAAGCCUGAUCCAGCAAUGCCGCGUGCAGGAUGAAGGCCUUCGGGUUGCAAACUGCCUUUGUACGGAACGAAAAGCCCCGGGUUAAUACCCUGGGGUCAUGACGGUACCGUAAGAAUAAGCACCGGCUAACUACGUGCCAGCAGCCGCGGUAA
rnacentral:rRNA from 1 species